rnacentral:lncRNA from 10 species
AAUGAAGUGAGACAUGGGCAGAUUAAACCAUCAUUCAGCCUUCAUGGGGCUUUGAAUUCAGCCUCAAACAUUGUGAUAAUCCGAUCCUGACACUUGCCCUCCCCUCAUUCACUCUUUUAACAAUCCCAAGAGAGUGCAGGACUGAGAUCCGAAAAUGUUAUUAUGGAGGGGAAAUAAAGGUUAUUUUGAAUGCUUCAAGGUCACGUGACUUGUAAGAAGAAGUCAGUUGCUAUGUACAAAGUCCUACUACUCUAAGACUGCCAUACCAUGAGAAGCCCAACCUAGCCAUGUGGAGAGGUCAUGUGAAGGAGAACUGAGUCUUCCAGCCAGCAACCCCAGCUGAGCUUCCAGCCAACAAACAGCACUAACUUGCAUGGGAGAAGCUGUCCAGGAAGUGAAUCCUUGAGCUCCAAUUGAGCUGCCUCAAGCUGGUGUCACGUGGAGCAGAGAUGAGCUGUCCCUGACAUACCUUGCACAAAUUUCAGAAACAUAAGUAAAUAAAAGAAAUAUUUGUAUUUUAAGUCAACA